rnacentral:rRNA from 1 species
GAUGAACGCUGGCGGCGUGCCUAACACAUGCAAGUCGAACGAAGCACCUUACCUGAUUCUUCGGAUGAAAGUUUGGUGACUGAGUGGCGGACGGGUGAGUAACGCGUGGGUAACCUGCCCUGUACAGGGGGAUAACAGCUGGAAACGGCUGCUAAUACCGCAUAAGCGCACGAGGAGACAUCUCCUUGUGUGAAAAACUCCGGUGGUACAGGAUGGGCCCGCGUCUGAUUAGCUGGUUGGCAGGGUAACGGCCUACCAAGGCAACGAUCAGUAGCCGGUCUGAGAGGAUGAACGGCCACAUUGGAACUGAGACACGGUCCAAACUCCUACGGGAGGCAGCAGUGGGGAAUAUUGCACAAUGGGGGAAACCCUGAUGCAGCAACGCCGCGUGAGUGAAGAAGUAUUUCGGUAUGUAAAGCUCUAUCAGCAGGGAAGAUAAUGACGGUACCUGACUAAGAAGCUCCGGCUAAAUACGUA